rnacentral:rRNA from 1 species
AUGAACGCUGGCGGCGUGCUUAACACAUGCAAGUCGAACGGUGAAGCAGAGCUUGCUCUGUGGAUCAGUGGCGAACGGGUGAGUAACACGUGAGCAACCUGCCCCUGACACUGGGAUAAGCGCUGGAAACGGCGUCUAAUACUGGAUAUGAGCUGCGACCGCAUGGUCAGCAGUUGGAAAGAUUUUUCGGUCUGGGAUGGGCUCACGGCCUAUCAGCUUGUUGGUGAGGUAAUGGCUCACCAAGGCGUCGACGGGUAGCCGGCCUGAGAGGGUGACCGGCCACACUGGGACUGAGACACGGCCCAGACUCCUACGGGAGGCAGCAGUGGGGAAUAUUGCACAAUGGGCGAAAGCCUGAUGCAGCAACGCCGCGUGAGGGAUGACGGCCUUCGGGUUGUAAACCUCUUUUAGCAGGGAAGAAGCGAAAGUGACGGUACCUGCAGAAAAAGCGCCGGCUAACUACGUG